AUUGUCAGUUUAAUAUAACUUAAAUCAUGUAAUAUUUAGUCUGGCAGGAUCUUGAGGCCUUUGUGAACUGUUGACUAAUGACCAACUAGUGUUGCGUUACACCACGGCAUUGCCGUAGUCCUAGCCCAUAAUAAAAAUGCUACAUUCUUAGAGAAAAAAAAAAAUUGUAAUUUGACAAAGAUGUAUGAUAGAAAUAUAAAGACAUUCGCAAAUGUUGGUUGAGUUGGUUGGAUGGUUUUUCAUAUGACAAAUCUGGGAUCGAUUCUUCUCUUCACCAGUAUUUUCGGUUAGAGUUCAUCGGACUGACCUUGCUUAAUGUUGUUUACAUCCUUUUUUCAAUCAAAAUUGAUCAUGUCAACUUGCCUAAUCCAUUUACAUCUCCUACGUGAUUUGCAAGUUAUUAUACAUGAGCAAAUUGGAUUUCCAUGAUGGCUUAAAGAAAAAGUGAUGUUGAAUUAGAUAGAAAUAAAUCACUUAGGUAUGUAAGAACAUGUCGACGUUGCGUGUUAGUAGCCUGUGAUUUCAUUAUUGAGAUGUCAAAUAUGCACUCAAAUGCAUGUCAAUAUCAAUUUAUUUGUGUGAGUUCAGUUGAACACAAAUCUAGAAUUUUAGUCGUAUGACUACAAUCUUUACGAUUUUUUGACAUUAAACUCAUUAUAUUUUAAAUUUAUGAAUUCACAUCUGUUGUUUAUUAUAACUUUAGCGGAUUUUUACACAUAAAAUUAAAGAAAAAAAUUACAAAACAUCAUAAAUUAUUUUUACCAAAUUACAUAAAAUUUCUAUCCUUUUUAUUAGUUACCUAAAUUUUUUUUUAAACAGUCGGAUACAUCCACAAACAUAUAAAUUUUCGGAUACAUAAUUUUAAUUAUUUAUCUCCCUUUAGUCUAGUUAAUGUAUUACAUAUCUCGACUAAAUAGUUUCAGAAAUGAUGUAUCUCAAUAAUCAAAAUUAUGUAUCUCAACUUUAAAAGUAUGCAUUUGGAUGCUAAUUAUGUAUUUGAGCAAAAAUGGAGGAAUUAACUAUGUUCAAAAUUAUGUAUCCAAAAAUGCUACUAAUGUAUCCAAAAAUUGCAAAAUAAGAAAUUAUUUGUAAUAUAGCAAAGAGUUGGGAUAGGGAGUAAUUAGGGAUAAACUUGUUGAGAUUUAUGUAAGUUUUACAAAAUUAAAUUACUCUGCAUAAAAAGUACAGAGUUCAUGUGAACCCCUUAAGCUAUAACCUCUGAUUUUGACUUGACGCGGAGUUUAAAAAAGUAAAUAAAAUUUUAAAAUCGUGUCGUCUUAAAUUAA
rnacentral:lncRNA from 1 species